UACGGGGGGAGCAAGCGUUGUUCGGAUUUACUGGGCGUAAAGGGCGCGGUAGGCGGUCGUGACAAGUCACUUGUGAAAUCUCCGGGCUUAACUCGGAACGGUCAAGUGAUACUGUCGGACUAGAGUACAGAAGGGGCAACUGGAAUUCUCGGUGUAGCGGUGAAAUGCGUAGAUAUCGAGAGGAACACCUGCGGCGAAGGCGGGUUGCUGGGCUGAUACUGACGCUGAGGCGCGAAAGCCAGGGGAGGCGAACGGG
rnacentral:rRNA from 1 species